ACGAACGCUGGCGGCGUGCCUAAUACAUGCAAGUCGAACGCUUCUUUUUCCACCGGAGCUUGCUCCACCGGAAAAAGAGGAGUGGCGAACGGGUGAGUAACACGUGGGUAACCUGCCCAUCAGAAGGGGAUAACACUUGGAAACAGGUGCUAAUACCGUAUAACAAUCGAAACCGCAUGGUUUUGAUUUGAAAGGCGCUUUCGGGUGUCGCUGAUGGAUGGACCCGCGGUGCAUUAGCUAGUUGGUGAGGUAACGGCUCACCAAGGCGACGAUGCAUAGCCGACCUGAGAGGGUGAUCGGCCACAUUGGGACUGAGACACGGCCCAAACUCCUACGGGAGGCAGCAGUAGGGAAUCUUCGGCAAUGGACGAAAGUCUGACCGAGCAACGCCGCGUGAGUGAAGAAGGUUUUCGGAUCGUAAAACUCUGUUGUUAGAGAAGAACAAGGAUGAGAGUAACUGUUCAUCCCUUGACGGUAUCUAACCAGAAAGCCACGGCUAACUACGUGCCAGCAGCCGCGGUAAUACGUAGGUGGCAAACGUUGUCCGGAUUUAUUGGGCGUAAAGCGAGCGCAGGCGGUUUCUUAAGUCUGAUGUGAAAGCCCCCGGCUCAACCGGGGAGGGUCAUUGGAAACUGGGAGACUUGAGUGCAGAAGAGGAGAGUGGAAUUCCAUGUGUAGCGGUGAAAUGCGUAGAUAUAUGGAGGAACACCAGUGGCGAAGGCGGCUCUCUGGUCUGUAACUGACGCUGAGGCUCGAAAGCGUGGGGAGCAAACAGGAUUAGAUACCCUGGUAGUCCACGCCGUAAACGAUGAGUGCUAAGUGUUGGAGGGUUUCCGCCCUUCAGUGCUGCAGCUAACGCAUUAAGCACUCCGCCUGGGGAGUACGACCGCAAGGUUGAAACUCAAAGGAAUUGACGGGGGCCCGCACAAGCGGUGGAGCAUGUGGUUUAAUUCGAAGCAACGCGAAGAACCUUACCAGGUCUUGACAUCCUUUGACCACUCUAGAGAUAGAGCUUCCCCUUCGGGGGCAAAGUGACAGGUGGUGCAUGGUUGUCGUCAGCUCGUGUCGUGAGAUGUUGGGUUAAGUCCCGCAACGAGCGCAACCCUUAUUGUUAGUUGCCAUCAUUUAGUUGGGCACUCUAGCAAGACUGCCGGUGACAAACCGGAGGAAGGUGGGGAUGACGUCAAAUCAUCAUGCCCCUUAUGACCUGGGCUACACACGUGCUACAAUGGGAAGUACAACGAGUCGCAAAGUCGCGAGGCUAAGCUAAUCUCUUAAAGCUUCUCUCAGUUCGGAUUGUAGGCUGCAACUCGCCUACAUGAAGCCGGAAUCGCUAGUAAUCGCGGAUCAGCACGCCGCGGUGAAUACGUUCCCGGGCCUUGUACACACCGCCCGUCACACCACGAGAGUUUGUAACACCCGAAGUCGGUGAGGUAACCUUUUGGAGCCAGCCGCCUAAGGUGGGAUAGAUGAUUGGGGUG
rnacentral:rRNA from 1 species